GAAGGCAGUUUAACUCUGGAGUCUCUGCUGCCUGUUGUGUGGACAAGUUUGAAGAGCAGAGGAGGGGUUUUUUUCCAGCCCCUCAUGACUUGUGACUCUCUCCCUUCUUCAGCAUUACGAGGAAAGAGGAAGAGAUCGCCAGCCUCCAGGGGGAGUUAGUCGUCAAGAAGCAGGCCGUGGAGCAGCAGAGGCAAAAAAACAAUGACCUCCGGGAGAAAAACUGGAAAGCCAUGGAAGCAUUGGCCUCAACAGAAAAAUUGCUGCAGGACAGAGAGAUCAAGACGGCCAAGGAGAGGCAACUGUCUGCAGAGUUGGCUGAAAAGGAGACUUAGAGCCGCC